AGUGAACGCUGGCGGCGUGCCUAAUACAUGCAAGUCGAACGGAGUGGCGCACGGGUGAGUAAUGUAUAGCUAAUCUGCCCUACACUAGAGGACAACAGUUGGAAACGACUGCUAAUACUCUAUAGUGUAGGAUGGGGCUAUAUGGUAUCAGCUAGUUGGUGAGGUAAUGGCUCACCAAGGCUAUGACGCAUAACUGGUCUGAGAGGAUGAGCAGUAACACUGGAAGUGAGACACGGUCCGGGAUCCUACGAGAGGGAGCAGUAGGGAAUAUUGCUCAAGGGGGGAAACCCUGAAGCGGCAACGCCGCGUGGAGGAUGACACGUUUCGGGGCGUAAACGCCUGUUGUUAGGGAAGCGGUACCUAACGAAUAAGCACCGGCUAACUCCGUGCCAGCAGCCGCGGUAAUAC
rnacentral:rRNA from 1 species